GCGCGGGCCUCUGGGUUCCGAGGGUGCUGGUGACCUGAGAAGAAGGGAGGGGACAGAGGAGGAGACACACCUGAUCAGCCCGGGAGACUUUGGAGGAGGCGGGCCGGCCGGGAGGAAGUGGCGGGGAGGAGGGACCGGAGCACCCCAGGAUCGAAGAGGGCGCACGGGCCCGGCCCUCCCACGCGCCCUCCAGGGACCCGGCAGCCAGACAGACGGACAGGCGGACCGCUAGGGAGCUCAAGUACCCGGACACACGCACGAGCGCAGAACAAAGGGCCGGACAUGCUCCAGCCCGCUCCGCCUGCGCCUCGGCCUUGCGCGCGGGGGCCCGGGUUACCUGCGCAGAGCCAGCUGUGAUGUAAAGAAGUUUGUGCUGCAUGAGAGAGAUAGCACCUGAAGAAAAUGAGGCCCUGGAGGAUGAGAGACUCUAAAGGAAAAGGGAAGGGCCUGCUGUCUUCCAGCCACGCCAGCCCCCAACUGAGAAGCUGGGCUGGAGUGCUGUGGCACAACCAUAGCUCACUGCAGCCUCCACCUCCCUGGUUCAAGCGAUCUUCCCACCUCAGCCUCCCGAGUAGUUGAGACCACAGUGCCCUUGGUGUGGUGGAAGCAAGGUGCCAUGUGAUAAGUAAGCCUCCAGAGAGGCCUGCAUGGCAGGAUCCAAUGUCUUUAGCCAACAGCAUCUGGGAACCUGAGACCUGCCAACACCCUUGUGAGUGAGCCUGGAAGUGGACCUCCUGCUCUUGAACCUUGAGGUGACUAUAGUGCUGGCUGACACCUUGACUGCAGUCCCUGAGCUGGGGGGCCCAGCUGAUCUACUCCCAGAAUCCCCCCUACUAAAACAGUGAUAUAAUAAAUGCUUAUUGUUUCAAGCUGGUA
rnacentral:lncRNA from 1 species